UUCUACUUUGAAUAUAUCGAAAAAAAUAUUUCACAAUUAAAUUAGGGAAAGAAAGAGAACCAUUAGUCUGUUCUUAGAAUCUUGUUGAAAAUAUUAUUUCGUCUAAUCUAUUAUUUUCUUCUUUAUUUAUUCAUUCGCAAUUUAUUGACCGGUGAUUUUCAAUCAAUUUCCAGCUGGUAAUUAAGUUAAUACUCUUCUUAGUAUCCUACGAUAGUUACUGCGUACGUUCAUUGUUACGCUAAACGAAAGACGGUUGAGAAUAAAAUGGUACUCGGCUCAGAGUUGUAAGGCCGGAUCCGCUUGAAAAGGAAACGCUGAAAAGGGUGAGCUUAGAAAAGGUUGUUAUGCUCUGCUUUAUCUUGCCCAGGAUGAUCCCAAAAAAUCGAUUCAACGGUUAUUUCUUCGAAUCGCACCCUUGUACAACUGCGUUGCUCGGAAUCCCGUUCGACUUGUUUUUUUCUUCUUGGUAAAGGUAGGUCAUUUUAUCAAAGGGGAACGUGAUAAAAAAAAAGAAGAGUUGGAUAUAAUUUACAAUUCAUCGUAAGCAAAUGAAGAACAAUAAUAAAAGAAAUUUAUACUCCUGUUACAGUGUACUUUACCAUCAGUGUUAUCUAUCUCAAACCAGACGUCAACCGGAAAUAUUGGUCAUAGUGUUAGCAUUUCAUCGAUAGUGUUGCCCAAGUAACCGCAUGCAGAUCAAUUUCCUUGGUGCAUGAUCCAUUGAUCUCGAUCAAAUGGAAUAUAUUAAUGAAUGCAUCGGAUAACGGUUACGAUCAAUAACUAUCCUACGGUCUAAGACACUUUAUCGUCAAAUCUUCCAGAGCUCCGAAAAUUCCUCCGCAGUUCCUUAGGAAACAGAAUCCAUCAAGUUAAUUAUUUCAAAUUGAUCGAGUUUAAUCUACUUCCUAAUAUUCCACAUAAAUGCAAAAUUUUCUAUUCAAUGAUGUAUUCAAUGGAAAACAUAACGUAUUGGAUAUUUAUAUAUGGUUAGAUACUAAUUACAUUUUCUCUAAUACCCCUGAGCAAGAACCAUGAUUAGAGCUAAAAGAAAAUAUUCAAUCACUGGUGGCUUGAUGAAAUUGUUAAAAAUAGUUGCCAUCGGUUACUGGUGUUUGAUGGACGGUUUUACGAGUCCAUGAAUGGGUGAUGCGUAUCGUAUUUUUGAAGGUAAAACGGCACGUGAAAGGAGUAGAAUAAUAGUUUGGCAAUCGUUCAAGUAUUUAUAAGAAUUCAUCAAGAACAUAGAAUUUGUGAACACGUGUACGGCUCGCGACAAGAAUCGUCUAUCACGAAGCCAAUAUCUUUCCAACUUAUGUUUUAUGUUACAGGUAUGACGAAGCGGAGAAUCGGGGAAAGAGAAACGAUCGGUUAAACGUUACAUCGAGCUAAAAUUGUGAAUUAAAGUUACGAAGAAAUUAGAUUCCUGUAACUUCGGGGAAGGAAGACUCUAAUCCGUAAGAGAGUAAAUACAUAUUAGAAGAAUUUCGAAGGUCACCUGUAACAAUGAUCCAUAGAGAAGAGUUUUAUUAAGCGCUAGAACGAUGACGAGCGAAGCAUAACUGUCGACGAAUGAUCAUGUAAUGUGUAUAACGUAAUGUUAUAACAGUAAUAAAGUGCGUGUGCACUGGUAGUAUAUCUGUAAUAGGUGUUGGCCAUUUCAACAUCAUGGCCAUCCAGAUACUUCCAGACGUCCGUAGGAUUAUUCUUAUUCAUUGUUUUCAUCCGUUAUAGAGACUUGAGAUGCUUGCCAUGUUUCUGCAAUUAUAUAAUAUACUAUAUAAUUCGUUCCUUAUAAUUCAUUAACGCGAGUCAUCACAGGAAUGCUAUUGAUCAGACGUCAGCUUGUUACCGAGGAAAGUUUCACAAUCGCAGAAUUAAAUUAUUCUAAGACACUGUUUGACAUAAAACGCUUCUAAAUAUUUUGAAUAUUCCAAAUCUUCCGUAUAGCAUAUCUGAUUCGCGUAAACAUCGUUGGAAUAGGUCAUCUUGGAUUAUUACUGCGAAAUAUAUCAUCAUCUUGUUUGCAUUACAUUUCAACAUAUUUUGAUACCAUUCACUGUACAGUUUAUUUUCUAGGCAACUAUCCAAGGUAAACGAAAUAAUCUUUCACGAGCCACCAACGAACUAGAUAUUAUUGGCGAGCUCGUUAUUUCAACGACGUCGACGUGCCCGGUGAUCAGUAAUUUUUUUCGUUUCAUCGUCCAUCGAUUCCAGGUCGAAACGAGUCUGAUAGUACAUAGCCGCUUUGACGAAUAUUGCAGAAGACUAUUUUUACUUUGAUCCUUGAAAAUUUCUUCGAAGUACUAGCUUAAAAAUCAAAGACCAAGAACAAUUUCCAAAGUAUAACCGAACGCGGUCUUACGCGAUACUCAUUUCAAAUUGCAAUAUUGAAAAGUUAAUCAAAUGGAGAAAUAAUGAUUGGGAAGAAUCAAAUGUGUCUCAGGUAACCGGACGUUACAUUGGCAUGCAGACUACUAGACUAAGAAGAGGGUCAGAAUUACAGAUUUAUGCUAAUUGGUAACUUAUUAAUAUUGCUGAUAUCAUUUACUCGCAGUUGACCAGCGGGUACUGCGCCAUUUUCAGCGCUUAGAAGCACUUAACGUACGUAUCGAAAUUUUUCCGUUUUCCUGCUUGUGUCAAUGAUUAGCACAUUGCGAAACGAUAAUUCCUCUUCAAGACAUCCGAGGAAUCUAAAUAACAAGUGAAGACGCGCUAAGAAUCGUCGUGUUAUUUUCCUUCCGACGUGUUUCACAACGCCUGUCUUCAUCUUAGAGUAAAUAUUGCAUCUCUGUAACCUUCGAAAGAUGCAAACCACAAAACUUUCGUAGGUCCUUCUCUCGACAUCUGUGGCCGUAGUACUUAGAUCUUAAUCGAUGCGUCCGUGAAUUUAACGCAUAAACCUUUCACCAAAACGUCACGAUCUCGUGACCCUUUUGCAUCCGUGGUAUCCACAGUUACAUCAGUUUUCUUUCUUCGUGUACCGGCUCGUGCGAACGUUAUAACUCGUUGAGGCACGAAAUAUUCACGGUCACAAUCAACUGCAGCCUUCGUCGGGACGAGCUUUCACUUCAAGUUGCAUCAAUGAAACGAUAAGUUUUUUCUGCGAGGAUCAUAAGAAGGAAAUAAUAAUCACAAGAAGGGAACGUAACAAAAAUUCGAACUUGAUCCAGUGCAUCGACAAACGGUCUUAUGCAACGCGCUAGAAAUAAAGUUACAUGAAAGGUUCGACGCUGUAAAUCGUAAACAGCGCAGAUGGCUAAUGUAGCGCCAUGUAUGCGAACAGAAGAUAAAUUGCUCGAGCACAAUAAAGAUAAAUUUUGCUAUACGUGA